UACAGAGGGGGCAAGCGUUAUUCGGAAUUAUUGGGCGUAAAGGGCGCGUAGGCGGUCCUUCAAGUCUCUCGUGAAAUCCCUCGGCUUAACUGAGGACGUGCGGGAGAUACUGCUGGGCUUGAGUCCGGAAGAGGGUGGUGGAAUUCCCAGUGUAGCGGUGAAAUGCGUAGAUAUUGGGAGGAACACCGGUGGCGAAGGCGGCCACCUGGGCUGACACUGACGCUCAGGCACGAAAGCGUGGGGAGCAAACAGG
rnacentral:rRNA from 1 species